GCAGUGGGGAAUAUUGGACAAUGGGCGCAAGCCUGAUCCAGCCAUACCGCGUGGGUGAAGAAGCCCUUCGGGUUGUAAAGCCCUUUUGUUGGGAAAGAAAUCCAGCCGGCUAAUACCUGGUUGGGAUGACGGUACCCAAAGAAUAAGCACCGGCUAACUUCGUGCCAGCAGCCGCGGUAAUACGAAGGGUGCAAGCGUUACUCGGAAUUACUGGGCGUAAAGCGUGCGUAGGUGGUUGUUUAAGUCUGUUGUGAAAGCCCUGGGCUCAACCUGGGAACUGCAGUGGAAACUGGACAACUAGAGUGUGGUAGAGGGUAGCGGAAUUCCCGGUGUAGCAGUGAAAUGCGUAGAGAUCGGGAGGAACAUCCAUGGCGAAGGCA
rnacentral:rRNA from 1 species